rnacentral:rRNA from 1 species
CCUACGGGGGGCAGCAGUGAGGAAUAUUGGUCAAUGGACGAGAGUCUGAACCAGCCAAGUAGCGUGAAGGAUGACUGCCCUAUGGGUUGUAAACUUCUUUUAUAUGGGAAUAAAAUGUUCCACGUGUGGGAUUUUGUAUGUACCAUAUGCAUAAGGAUCGGCUAACUCCGUGCCAGCAGCCGCGGUAAUACGGAGGAUCCGAGCGUUAUCCGGAUUUAUUGGGUUUAAAGGGAGCGUAGGUGGAUUGUUAAGUCAGUUGUGAAAGUUUGCGGCUCAACCGUAAAAUUGCAGUUGAAACUGGCAGUCUUGAGUACAGUAGAGGUGGGCGGAAUUCGUGGUGUAGCGGUGAAAUGCUUAGAUAUCACGAAGAACUCCGAUUGCGAAGGCAGUUCACUGGACUGCAACUGACACUGAGGCUCGAAAGUGUGGGUAUCAAACAGGAUUAGAUACCCUUGUAGUC